UACGAAGGGGGCUAGCGUUGCUCGGAAUCACUGGGCGUAAAGGGUUCGUAGGCGGCGCGGUAAGUCGGGUGUGAAAUCUUGGAGCUUAACUCCGAAACUGCAUUCGAUACUGCCGUGCUUGAGGACUGGAGAGGAGACUGGAAUUUACGGUGUAGCGGUGAAAUGCGUAGAUAUCGUAAGGAAGACCAGUGGCGAAGGCGGGUCUCUGGACAGUUCCUGACGCUGAAGCACGAAGGCCAGGGGAGCAAACGGG
rnacentral:rRNA from 1 species